UGGGGAAUAUUGCACAAUGGGCGCAAGCCUGAUGCAGCCAUGCCGCGUGUAUGAAGAAGGCCUUCGGGUUGUAAAGUACUUUCAGCGGGGAGGAAGGGAGUAAAGUUAAUACCUUUGCUCAUUGACGUUACCCGCAGAAGAAGCACCGGCUAACUCCGUGCCAGCAGCCGCGGUAAUACGGAGGGUGCAAGCGUUAAUCGGAAUUACUGGGCGUAAAGCGCACGCAGGCGGUUUGUUAAGUCAGAUGUGAAAUCCCCGGGCUCAACCUGGGAACUGCAUCUGAGACUGGCAAGCUUGAGUCUCGUAGAGGGGGGUAGAAUUCCAGGUGUAGCGGUGAAAUGCGUAGAGAUCUGGAGGAAUACCGGUGGCGAAGGCGGCCCCCUGGACGAAGACGGACGCUCAGGUGCGAAAGCGUGGGGAGCAAACAGG
rnacentral:rRNA from 1 species